GGGGCUGCACUGGUUUCGACGGGGAGUACAAAGUUUAAAAUGCAUGUCGUGCCUGAAUGAUGCACGUAAAUCUUUAUUUCAUUUUGUUAUAGUUGCAAACGACGAUAACUACGCUCUAGCGGCUUAAUCCCGCUGGUGCAGCCUAGGAAAGCUGUCUGUGGCCCCUAACGCUGUAUCAUAUCUCACAGAACCGUGUCCGCUGCGUGUUUGGGUAGUUGGCAUUAAACUUUACAAACUCGCCUAAUGUGAUCCCUGCUGGUCGGGCAGCAUUCAGGUUAAAUUAAUAGACCAAAUAAACAUGUAGAUUUUUAGAUGGAGGCUCCGCGGACGGGGGUUCGACUCCUCCCAGCUCCACCA
rnacentral:tmRNA from 1 species